UUAAACACUGCCUACUAAAGUGGGAUUUCAAUCCUGAUUGCGGGGGCGGGAUUGCUAUUGUAGUACAAAUAAUAAAUAUUACCCUUGCAUCACUGUGAUUUAUGAUUAAACUUUGUAUAGCGUGAAAUGUUGGAGCAAAAAAUGGACGACCUACUGAGUCAUCAGAGACAAUUUGUCGAAAAUAAUCAUCGGUCCGUAGAACAGAAAAGAAAAGGAAAGGAAAAGUCUUCUACAUUUCUAAGAAGUGUUUCAUCAGCUACAUGACUUACUGACAGGGGAUCUGCCGUGCGACCAGAUAAACCAGGACUUGCAGCAAGCCAACGAUGCUCUACGAGCAGAACUCAACAAAGAAAUGGAGGAAAAAAACCUUCUUCGCUGCCAGUCUGAUCAAAAAUCUCAAGAAAUCCAUC